UGUCUAUUCCUAAAUAUUAGAAAAAUGAAUAAAAGACUAUUUUGUUCGGUGAUAAAUUGAUAUUAUUAAAGACAAUCUAAUUUAUAUUUUACUUAAGACAAGCAAUUUGGCUGGGAUUUAUCAAUUAUACAUCAUAGGAAAAAAGUAAUAUGUGACGAUCCAAGGGGUCAUUACUGUAAUUCUCUCUUUUCUUGCUCUUCUAAGGCCUUGAAAAUCUCUUAUUUGAUUGCCUCGAUUUAAGUGUGCAGUCCGGGCGCGAAGCCGGAAAAUUUUUAUGUGAAAAUAUUUGAAUUCUUUGUUAAAAACUACGAAUUUUGAUACUAAUAUUGUUAUAGUUGACUUUGGUCAACAUUUUAGGUAAACGGACCUAGACCCGUAAUAUGACGGUCCCGGAGGGUCCGCAAGGAAAUUUGGGAUCCGGGCAUAUUCCCGGAAUCGAAAUCUGAGGUCCUAAGCCCGAGUACGGAGCUUUUCUGUGAAAUUAUUUUAUAAAUAUGCUUAAGGAAAAAUAAAAAUAGAAAUUGAUCAAAAAUAAUGGUAUCGGGCUCGGUUAUUAUGUACAGAUUUAGUGCAUGAGGCCUUGGAUAAGGUCAAGAUCAUUCAGGACAGACUUCAGUCGGCUCAGUCUAGGCAGAAGAGUGUUGUAGAUCGUAAGGUCAGGGAUGUUGCUUUCAUGGUUGGUGAGUGGGUAUUGCUCCGUGUAUCGCCUAUAAAGGGCGUGAUGAGGUCUGGGAACAAGGGCAAGCUUAGCCCUAGGUAUAUUGGCAUGUUUGAGAUUCUUGACUUGCAGAUCGUAAGGUCAGGGAUGCUGCUUUCAUGGUUGGUGAGCGAGUAUUGUGAGCACGUGAUUUUUGCCAUAUAUAUGAAUUACUCCCAGAAAAUUCAAAAUAAAACAAUUUUGUUUGUUUGAAAUUGUUGAGA
rnacentral:lncRNA from 1 species